rnacentral:rRNA from 1 species
AUUGAACGCUGGCGGCAGGCCUAACACAUGCAAGUCGAGCGGAGCGGCGGACGGGUGAGUAAUGCCUAGGAAUCUGCCUGGUAGUGGGGGAUAACGUCCGGAAACGGGCGCUAAUACCGCAUACUAUCAGAUGAGCCUAGGUCGGAUUAGCUAUUGGGUGGGGUAAAGGCCUACCAGGGCGACGAUCCGUAACUGGUCUGAGAGGAUGAUCAGUCACACGUGACAUGAGACCCGGUCCAGAUUCGUACGGGAGGCAGCAGUGGGGAAGAUUGGACAAUGGGCGAAAGCCUGAUCCAGCCAUGCAGCGUGUGUGAAGAAGGUCUUCGGAUUGUAAAGCACUUUAAGUUGGUAGGCGUUACCAACAGAAUAAGCACCGGCUAACUUCGUGCCAGCCGCCGCGGUAAUAC